UUUUAGUUAGGCCAAACACUGCGAUAGCACAACCUGUCUCUAAUUAGGCAUCAUUGAAUUUUAUGGGUCAAGAAGCUUUAAUGAAGCUCAUCGAUAAUUUCAUAGGUUGUAGUCAUGGUGGGUUGAUACUAUUUUUGGUGUCUUCUGAUAUCCUUCCUGUGAUUUUUAAUUACAAUUAUUUUGUGUUGUUGCAAUGCAGCAGGUUCAUAGUCUGAUGGGGAUGCUUAUAUUUGUUGAUGACACUGAGAUUUAAAUAAAUAUAGAAGAUGAAGACUUUGGUGUCAUAAUUUAAGAAAAAAGCAAGACUAAGAUGAUGGUAGCCAUGCGUAGGUAAAUGAAAAAUCAAAUUUCCCAUCUGAACUGUGGGCAGAUAUCAAGAAUGCUUUGAAUCUUAGAGACGAAAUUAUGAUUGUUCCUCUUAUAUGAACAAGUAUCGCUAACCGGGAUUUCUCUUGCAGGAAAAGAUCAGUACGGAAAACAUGAUUAUCUCACUUCAUCAAGGACAAGGAUACAGGUACGUUCAGGAGAUGAGAGAGGUCUUUCCUUUGGACCCAGGGCAUGUCACUCUCGAAUAAAUCAACUUUGCAACAGCAAGACCUGUUCCCAUUAUGCAAGCCUCCAUGGAGGUUAAUUUCUUGAGUUAGAGAUUUAGUUCGUUGGUAAUUAUCUUACCUUUUACCUGUUUAUACUUUUGAUCCCUUAUUUUUUAUAACUGAUAUGCGUUUGAGAAAAUAUGUAGACCGAAUUUGACAUGGGAGGAGUCCGUUAAGAGAGACCUGAAGGAUUGGAGUAUCACCAAAGAACUAGCUAUGGACAGGGGUGUGUUGAAGCUUGCUAUCCAUGUGCCAGAGCCAUGAGUUGGUCGCGAGAUCUUAUGAGUUUCACCUCUAGCCUACCCCAACUUGUUUGGGACUAAAGGCUUUGUUGUUGUUGUGCAAGAAUAUUAUAAAUGGAUGACAGCUUUUGUCAUGUGGGGAAUUCCCUACCAGAGGCGUGAAGUCCACUUACUACGUGGCUAGGAAUUGGUAAUUGGUUGGAGUAGGACACAAGUCAUAAGAUCCAGUUAGGAUUGGUAACCUGUUGGAUCAGAUCAAGAAUGAUUAUCAAGUUUGGAUUGUUGCAAGAGUAGGUAAUUCAUUAACAUGUUUAGGAAAAAGUCUGUUCUAGUUGGAGUUUCACGUGCAAGGCCAUCCGCUAUAAAUAGAGGCAGCCACGGGUGAUCUAGCCAAGCUAUCAAUAAACAAAUUCUUAGGCCUGAAUCCCCCUUCAAUUUCCUACAUCCAUUACCCUUCCCUAACAACAGCAAGCUAAUAGCACGACAUCAAACCAGCCGGCGGUUCAUUGGCCCGAGAGCACCUCUAUGGCACGGUAUCAACCUAAGGUCCAAGGGCUCUAAUAGUUUUGAAAUGAAUGGACAAAGUGACGGGUUUAGCCGAUGAUGAUGUUUUCUUAAAACUUCUGUUCUUAGUGUUUGUUUACUGAUAUGAACAAUUAUGACUAUGAUUGUUGCACUGCAUGACAUCAUGUAGUAUUGCUGCCUGCUGAUAAUUAAUUUAUGAGAAUAUGGACAACUGUGAUGUGCCUCUUUUCACUAAUAACAGACUUAUAAUGCCUACCAUCUGUAGUUCAUGAGGAGGUAUGUGAGCAAAUGCGCCCUAAUGCUCAUUCAUCGCUCCAACUCCGACCAUGUGUCUAGCUCGUGUUGUCAAGGAGUUCCCCUGCAGCUACCUUGGCAUGCCCUUGUCUAAGGACGCUACGCAAGCAGGACUUGCAAUAUCCUACAUAAGGUGAUUGCCAAACUCCCUAGCUGGAAGGCUAGCAUGCUCACUAGGGGAGGACAGUUGGUGCUCACAAAGACGAUCCUCUUGUGUUUUCCCAUCUACCACAUGUUAUUGCUUGUGAUCCUGGCCUGGCUGAUCAAGGCGAUUGACAAAUGUUGUAGAGCUUUAUCUACAAAAGGACGGAAGCAGUGAUGGGGAGGUCACUGCCUAGUGGCCUGGGACAGAGCUGCUUCAGUUGUUCUUGUGCAAUUAUGCUUGGGUGGUGGAGUCCUAGCCGUGGGGACCUUUAUAAAGCUGGUUAGAGCUGUGAUAGCAGCCCAAAGGCAAGUGUCUGCUUUGAUGCCAAGGUGUCCUUCCCGGCAGAUGGGUUUGGAUGCAGCUGGAGGUGUGCACUGAAUUUAUCCGGGCCGAGGGGUUUCUCGUUUCUCCACUCCAUGGUAUGUACUCCGCUGACUGCAGUGUCUGUUUGAUUGAUUCUCAGUUGUUUUUUACCAUCAAGCCAGUUAGGUAUUCACAGCCUGAAGAUUUGAUUGAUGUGUUUGAUGAAAUAAGUAAAUUGUAUUUGAUAGCAAGAGUUUAAUGAUGAGCUGUUUGGAGCUAGGAUGGGGAAUUCUUGUUGUAGGUUUGUAGCACUUGUUGUGCUGUAGGAGCUAGAACUUCAUUUUAUUUUUGAAAUGUGCACCAGAGAUUAGUUGCAGAUGAUAGGGCAUAGCCAAUGGCACUCCAAGCAUUUUUUUUUCUCCUGUGGUGCACUUCCUACCAGAAGCUUCAGUAAAAAUAAAUUCUCCUGUAUUUUUUCCGAAACGGAAGCAAAAGAUUUGUCUCAUCGAAUUAAUAAAGCAAAAGAUAGUUGCCUAGUUAAUUAGUGAAAAUCCGGGCAAAUACCGAUGCAGAUAGACCACACUCAAUGUAUGAAACCCCACAGCCACACAGGUGGCCCACACAGUUGUGUGCUUAAUAGUUCGUGUGAUUUUGAGUUUUGUACGGACUGAGGAGACGCAUGCUGUAAUUUGUGUGAUCUCACUUCCCUUUUAUUUGUAGAUAUGAUAUAUUUGGUUUUCAUUCUGCUGCCACUUAAUUCAGCGACGGGUUCUAAGCUUAGAUUGCUUGGUUUCAGUUCGUGCAUCCUGGUUUCUAGUGCAGGUCAAGACUUGGGUGGGAGAUGGUUAGCCACUUAGCCACAUGUUUUCUUCUGCAGGAGAGGUGUCAUAAGGUAGGCAUGAUUGGCUUCAUCCAGCCCUAAGUCAAGACAGUAUGAUUGAGACCUCUGUGAUGUGGUUUUUAUCUGUUCUUACUAGAUAAGGAGAAAUUUUUCAUGGGAAUGGUGUAUGAGCGAACACUAAAGACAUCCAAUUGUUGCCCAUAUGUAUGAUAAAAAUAUUGUUAUCUGUGCUACUGCGUAACCUUAUUCAUGACUGUUUUAUUCAGUCCUGACCCAACACAUUAGUAACUA
rnacentral:lncRNA from 1 species